UACGUAGGGUGCGAGCGUUGUCCGGAAUUAUUGGGCGUAAAGGGCUCGUAGGCGGUCUGUUGCGUCGGGAGUGAAAACUCAGGGCUUAACCCUGAGCCUGCUUCCGAUACGGGCAGACUAGAGGUAUGCAGGGGAGAACGGAAUUCCUGGUGUAGCGGUGAAAUGCGCAGAUAUCAGGAGGAACACCGGUGGCGAAGGCGGCGACCUGGUCCGAUACUGACGCUGAGGCGCGAAAGCGUGGGGAGCAAACAGG
rnacentral:rRNA from 1 species